rnacentral:rRNA from 1 species
GGAGGAUGCAAGCGUUAUCCGGAUUCAUUGGGUUUAAAGGGUGCGCAGGUGGGAAAAUAAGUCAGUGGUGAAAUACUGCCGCUUAACGGUAGAAUUGCCAUUGAUACUGUUUUUCUUGAGUAUGGUUGAGGUAGGUGGAAUGUGUUGUGUAGCGGUGAAAUGCAUAGAUAUGACACAGAACGCCGAUUGCGAAGGCAGCUUACUAAGCCAUUACUGACGCUGAGGCACGAAAGCGUGGGGAUCAAACAGGAUUAGAUACCCUGGUAGUCCACGCCGUAAACGAUGAUCACUCGCUGUUUGCGAUAUACAGCAAGCGGCUGAGCGAAAGCAUUAAGUGAUCCACCUGGGGAGUACGAUCGCAAGGUUGAA